UGCAGUCGAACGGUAACAGCACUUCGGUGGCUGACGAGUGGCGGACGGGUGAGUAAUACAUCGGAACGUGCCCGAUCGUGGGGGAUAACUACUCGAAAGAGUGGCUAAUACCGCAUACGAUCUACGGAUGAAAGCGGGGGAUCGCAAGACCUCGCGCGGACGGAGCGGCCGAUGGCAGAUUAGGUAGUUGGUGGGAUAAAAGCUUACCAAGCCGACGAUCUGUAGCUGGUCUGAGAGGACGACCAGCCACACUGGGACUGAGACACGGCCCAGACUCCUACGGGAGGCAGCAGUGGGGAAUUUUGGACAAUGGGGGAAACCCUGAUCCAGCCAUGCCGCGUGCAGGAUGAAGGCCUUCGGGUUGUAAACUGCUUUUGUACGGAACGAAAAGACUCUUUCUAAUACAGAGGGUCCAUGACGGUACCGUAAGAAUAAGCACCGGCUAACUACGUGCCA
rnacentral:rRNA from 1 species